UACGGAGGGUGCAAGCGUUAUCCGGAUUCACUGGGUUUAAAGGGUGCGUAGGUGGGCAGUUAAGUCAGUGGUGAAAUCUCCGGGCUCAACCCGGAAACUGCCAUUGAUACUAUCUGUCUUGAAUAUCGUGGAGGUAAGCGGAAUAUGUCAUGUAGCGGUGAAAUGCUUAGAUAUGACAUAGAACACCAAUGGCGAAGGCAGCUUACUAGCCGAAUAUUGACACUGAGGCACGAAAGCGUGGGGAGCAAACAGG
rnacentral:rRNA from 1 species